AGAGUUUGAUCAUGGCUCAGGACGAACGCUGGCGGCGUGGAUAAGACAUGCAAGUCGAACGAGGAACCAGAUAGCUUGCUAAUUGGUUUCCUAGUGGCGGACGGGUGCGUAACACGUGAGCAACCUACCCUGAAGUGGGGGAUAGCCUUCCGAAAGGAAGAUUAAUACCGCAUGUGAUCUCCGGAUCAAAGACGGCUUCGGCUGUCGCUUCAGGAUGGGCUCGCGGCCUAUCAGCUUGUUGGUGAGGUAACGGCUCACCAAGGCAACGACGGGUACCUGGUCUGAGAGGACGAUCAGGCACACUGGAACUGAGACACGGUCCAGACACCUACGGGUGGCAGCAGUCGAGAAUCAUUCACAAUGGGGGAAACCCUGAUGGUGCAACGCCGCGUGGAGGAUGAAGGCCCUCGGGUCGUAAACUCCUGUCAUCAGAGAGUAAGCCUUGUUCGUUAAUAGCGUGCAAGGUUGAUAGUAUCUGAAGAGGAAGGGACGGCUAACUUCGUGCCAGCAGCCGCGGUAAUACGAAGGUCCCAAGCGUUGUUCGGAAUCACUGGGCGUAAAGAGUAUGUAGGCGGUUCGGAAAGUCAGAUGUGAAAGCCCGGGGCUCAACCCCGGAACUGCAUCCGAUACUCCCGAACUUGAGUAAUGGAGGGGUGACUGGAAUUCUCGGUGUAGCAGUGAAAUGCGUAGAUAUCGAGAGGAACACUUGU
rnacentral:rRNA from 1 species